UGUCAUAAGAGAAUUAAAUUAAGCCUUUGA
rnacentral:piRNA from 1 species